CCUACGGGAGGCAGCAGUGGGGAAUAUUGGACAAUGGGCGCAAGCCUGAUCCAGCAAUACCGCGUGAGUGAUGAAGGUCUUCGGAUUGUAAAGCUCUUUUAGUGGAGAAGAUAAUGACGGUAUCCACAGAAAAAGCACCGGCAAACUUCGUGCCAGCAGCCGCGGUAAUACGAAGGGUGCUAGCGUUGUUCGGAAUCAUUGGGCGUAAAGCGUACGUAGGCGGUUUAGUAAGUCGAUUGUGAAAUACCCGAGCUCAACUUGGGAAUUGCAAUCGAAACUGCUUUGCUAGAGUUUAGUGGGGGAUAGUGGAAUUCCUAGUGUAGGGGUGAAAUCCGUAGAUAUUAGGAGGAACAUCAGUGGCGAAGGCGACUAUCUACGCUAAUACUGACGCUAAGGUACGAAAGCGUGGGGAGCAAACAGGAUUAGAUACCCUGGUAGUCCACGCAGUAAACGAUGAGUGCUAGUUGUCGGGGUCUUAGACUUCGGUGGCGAAGCUAACGCGUUAAGCACUCCGCCUGGGGACUACGGUCGCAAGACUAAAACUCAAAUGAAUUGACGG
rnacentral:rRNA from 1 species